CCUGAACAAACAGGGCAACAUCUCCCGGACCUUGUGACUUUGGCUGGUGUUUACAGAGUGAAGCUGCUUUGGCGUAUCCUGGGUUCCACUUCAUUAUCUCCAUAAUCAAACCUGGGGCUGCAUAAGAAGAGCACAACCACUCUCCAAGUGAUUUAACAGGAUGCUUUAAUGAUGUAUUGAGAAUGAACAUUGAUCCCAGAUGAGCAAAGCAAGGCUUAAAGAGCUAAGGAGACUGUGGGAAUGAAGGUUUCGAAGUGGUCUGAAUGGAGAAAGAAGCGGUGGGAGAGCUGAGUCAUCAUGCAGCACACGGCAAGGUAGCAGAAAACCCUGGAGAACAACAGCAGCCUGCCCCAGAGUCAGCCGUGAGCGCUGAUUUAGUUUCAGGAAAACAAUAACACUUUGUCCCAUUAAAUUAAUGUUGUUAAUUUGAAGUUUAUUGGUUUUGCAGUUUGCUUUUAUUUCAUUUAUAAAUUUGUUUUAGCUUUAUGGCUGUGAGAGAGCUCCCUGCAUAAGGAACGUGUACCUGGUUUUAUGUUUGUACAUAUUUAAGUAACAUUAUACUAAAUAUAACUCAAGUCAACAGAGAGCAAUCACAAUGUUUCCCCUCUAAGUGGGGUCUGCACCUUCCUUAAGGAGGGAAAUACAUCUCUUGUCCCCCAGGGUGGAAGCCAUAGAGGGUGCUCACAACCCUGUCUUCAGCUGGCUGCCAGCAGGGCUGUCCUGGCUUGCUUGGGGCCUGUGAUGCUGGACCCCAGUGGAGAGGGAGGGCACGCGUAGGUGGCUCCUCUGAGCAGGUGGCUGUCUACAGGCUGGGGAUGGCAGGGCCCCGGAAGGUCUGUCCCGCCCUGGCCUCCCUCCUGGCUGCUGCCCUACAUUCCUUUGUCUUGGCCCAGGGAGCCCUUAGCCUUAUGGCAAAUUCUUGAAAAGUGUCCCUGACCCAAAGGCAGGGAGGGCCCUGUAGGAACACCCAGGGUCUCAAGGCCAUGGUGGG
rnacentral:lncRNA from 10 species